AUGUGGGAAAUUCUGAAUGGUGUGGAGAAUGAGAGAGAAUGGGAAUUUUUACAUAAACAAAUUCAGCACCCAGACAACGUGGGGAAAUAUCUGGAAGAGAACUGCCAUGAUGACUCUAAGGAGAAAAAGAUCAUUGCAGUGAGCUGGGACCUGGCAUAUGCUUAUUGCACCCUGCUAGAUACUGUAGGGCAGCAGACAGACAAAGGGGGGCAGGGAGAUAAAUCAGCAGCUAUCCCAGUCACUCAGGCUGCAGCCAACAGCCCAGCUACUCAGGUUGUAGCUAAAGCAGACAGUGAGCCUAAGCCUGCAGCUAAGCCAGACAGUGAGCCUAAGCCACUGGCAGUCACCACCGGAAAGAAGCACACAAUCAUCACACAGCUAGUGAUCAGUGAUGAUGAUAUGGGGGAAGAACCCUCAAUGCCAAUUCCUGACAAAAAAGUCAGAGUCAAAGCAACUGGCACAAGAUCAGAGGCCAGUAUUGAGUCCUUUUCCCUAAGGGACCUUGGUGGCCUAAGAAAGGAUUACACUCAACGACCUGAUGAGUCUGUAAUUAGUUGGUUGGUCCAUCUUUGGGAUGCUGCAGGGGAGGCUACAAUUCUGGAUGGCAUUGAAGUGAGACAUUUGGGAUCCCUGUCACAUGAUCCUGUCAUUGACCAAGGAAUGAUGAGGGGGGCUAACCCUCACAGCCUCUGGGCACAGGACCUUAGAAGUGUGUCACAAAGAUACCUGUGUGCAGACAAUCUCUAUAUGGAGCAAAUCCAAUGGAAGACCAUAAAACAAGAGAUUCAACACUUGAGAAAAAUAGCAGUGGCAGAGAUUUUCUUCCCAGAUGACCUAAACACUGUAAAUCCAGACUUAGUACCAUGUACAUCUGUGACGUGGCAAAAACCUGUACAGCUUGGGCCACAUGAAUAUGCUUCUGCUUUAGCAAUAAUAAAGCAGGAUGAUGGAGAGGAGUCCAUACUUAAUAUGGCAAAGAAGCUCCAAGCAUAUGCAUAUGCAUGGCCCAACCUAUGCAAGAAUCACAGCUAUAGAAACACGUCUGCAGAAAUUAAAAGAUAA
rnacentral:lncRNA from 1 species